GUCUCUUCCUUCCUAGGCCUACCUCUGUUGGUGCUUUUGUCUUCCAACCUCCCUAUGUAGUAAGACCAGCCAAGCCCACAUGCCCACUGGGAGCCCUGAAACCAGAUCUGGUUUUCUGUCUUACCUGAACAGGUUCCCAGAACCCACACCAGGCCUCUGAAUCAGUCUCUGAGAAUCUGAUUGAUUUAAAGCCACUUGGUUGCUUCCAUUGCACUACCUGGGUUGCGAUCCCCUCAAUUGAUUUAGUAAAAAGAAAACUUAGCGGCCGGGUGCGGUGGCUCACACCUGUAAUCCCAGCACUUUGGGAGGCUGAGGCGGGUGGAUCACCUGAGGUCGAGAGUUCCAGACCAGCCUGACCAACAUGAAGAAAUCCCGUCUCUACUAAAAAUACAAAAUUAGCCGGGCGUGAUGGCGCAUGCCUGUAAUCCCAGCUACUUGGAGGCUGAGGCAGGAGAAUUGCUUGAACCUGGGAAGCGGAGGUUGUGGUGAGCCGAGAUCAUGCCAUUGCACUCCAGCCUGGACAACAAGAGUGAAACUCCAUCUCAAAAAAAAAAAAAGAAAAGAAAAGAAAAGAAAGAAAACUCAGCUAGGAAUUAGAAACAUCAUUUGUCCUCUUGGCCUGUUCAGCUGGUGACUGUAGUCCCAGAUGUCUAUGGAUUCCUGCGGGUCACCUCUCCUUUUCCUGCUGCCAUGCCUCCUCCUCCCCUGGUCACUACCACACCACUGAAAAUGAGGGGGUCUUGGCGGUGCGAAGCUACACUUCUAGCCACGAUCUUGUGGGGACUGGCUGGGAUGAAAAAUUUGAUGAAAAGGAAACUUGGGACUCCGGAGGACCAAGAUGGAGCGAGACGGUCAAUACUGAUGGACUUGCAGCUAGCACCAUGGCAGCCCUGCCUGGUCUAAGGAAGCUGGCAGGAGGCGAUGGUACCUGGCGGGGGCAGACUGCCCACCUCCCCACUCCUUCAGAGGACUGUUUCCUGCCCUUCACACCAUCAUCAUGUUGGGCCCUGCAUGUAUGUUCCUGCACUUGGAGCGAGCCCAGGGACACAGGGCAGACACUGGGCUCACAGAUGUUGCUGCAGCUGAGCCAGAAAACAUUCCAGGCAGGAAAAGCAGGUGCACACAUUCACACAGGCCUCUGGUCACUCGACCAGCCAGAAUGAGACGGACUCCUUGACCUGGGAAGUCAAGUCCCAGUGGGAAGGGCUGGAAAUCACACGUGGUCAACUUCUUGGCUCUCUCUGCUCCCCAAACCCUGGCCCUAGGCUUGCUUUAUCAUCACAUCCCAAGGCCAGAGGGCUGCUGCUGUCCCCAUCUUGGCCCUGCUAGAAGAGGGAUAGGGGUGGCUGGCAUGAUGGGUGAGGGGAACAUGAGAAUAUGCAGAGGCCUUGGAGGAAGAGGACUGGCAGUUAUGACAGGAAGGCUCUCUAUACCUGGCUCCCCAGUGUUCUGCCCCUGGCACUGAGCAUGAGGAGCCAGGCUUUGGGGAGACUUUGCAAUCACCCCCCCAACCUGGUCCAUUUUCCACAGGUAGCUUUCUUGAACUCACCUUGACCCCUCCUCAGCCAGCAGCCCCCACCUCCAGGGGCAAAGGAGCUGAAAGACAGUCCUGAACUGGGGGGAGCUGGGAUCACAUCAGCCAGGCCCUGUCCCUCACAGGAAGUGAGAUGAGGUGAUACCAUGGAUGGUGACUAAGGCCCCAAAGUCCCUGCCUCUCUGCCUCCCCAGAAACCUCACAGCCAGGCCAGCCCCCAGAGCAGAGCCUGUGUAAACAUGCCCAGGAGGGGAGGAGGGGUUGCUACAUAUGAGAAACAGUUAAAAAUAAAUUUAAAAAGCACCACUA
rnacentral:lncRNA from 1 species